GAUGAACGCUGGCGGCGUGCUUAACACAUGCAAGUCGAACGGGAAACAUUUCAUUGAAGCUUCGGCAGAUUUGGUCUGUUUCUGGUGGCGGACGGGUGAGUAACGCGUGGGUAACCUGCCUUAUACUGGGGGAUAACAGCCAGAAAUGGCUGCUAAUACCGCAUAAGCGCACAGGGCCGCAUGGUCCAGUGUGAAAAAUUCCGGUGGUAUAAGAUGGACCCGCGUUGGAUUAGCUAGUUGGCAGGGCAGCGGCCUACCAAGGCGACGAUCCAUAGCCGGCCUGAGAGGGUGAACGGCCACAUUGGGACUGAGACACGGCCCAGACUCCUACGGGAGGCAGCAGUGGGGAAUAUUGCACAAUGGGGGAAACCCUGAUGCAGCGACGCCGCGUGAAGGAAGAAGUAUCUCGGUAUGUAAACUUCUAUCAGCAGGGAAGAUAAUGACGGUAC
rnacentral:rRNA from 1 species